AUGAACGCUGGCGGCGUGCCUCAUACAUGCAAGUCGAGCGAACAGACGAGGAGCUUGCUCCUCUGACGUUAGCGGCGGACGGGUGAGUAACACGUGGAUAACCUACCUAUAAGACUGGGAUAACUUCGGGAAACCGGAGCUAAUACCGGAUAAUAUAUUGAACCGCAUGGUUCAAUAGUGAAAGACGGUUUUGCUGUCACUUAUAGAUGGAUCCGCGCCGCAUUAGCUAGUUGGUAAGGUAACGGCUUACCAAGGCAACGAUGCGUAGCCGACCUGAGAGGGUGAUCGGCCACACUGGAACUGAGACACGGUCCAGACUCCUACGGGAGGCAGCAGUAGGGAAUCUUCCGCAAUGGGCGAAAGCCUGACGGAGCAACGCCGCGUGAGUGAUGAAGGUCUUCGGAUCGUAAAACUCUGUUAUUAGGGAAGAACAAAUGUGUAAGUAACUAUGCACGUCUUGACGGUACCUAAGCAGAAAGCCACGGCUAACUACGU
rnacentral:rRNA from 1 species